AAUUCUGCCAACCACCCUACGACCUGGGUCUCGAGCCCAUUUUACAGAGGAGGAGACUGAGGCCUGGAGGCUUCGGCCUCAGGCCGGGCUCUGCAACAGCCAGGCCUGGGCAGCAGCCGGGCUCCACACGGGAGGCGGGGGAGGACCAGGUGGCGCGCAAGGAGUUAAGCGGGAGGCAGCGCUGUGGCUCCGGCGAGGAACGCGCCGGGCUGAAGCGCGCUGCUGGCGGCGGCGCGGGGAGCUGGGGCUGGAGACGCGAAGUCCGGGGCGGCCAGCGAGGCGGCGAGGAGGCAACGCGCCACAGGCCAGGCGGCUGCAUCCGGCGUGGCGGCCAGGCAUCCCCGGGCGGGUCCUGCACGGGGCCUCGCGGUGGCGCGGGGCACCCGCAGUGCCGCCCGCCCGCCUUCCAGGCUCGCGGCGGCCGGGCUCUCACUUCCUCUGCCUCUGCCCGCCUCCCCGGCUCGCCGGCUGGCGUCGCCACCGCCUCCUCGUCCCCGGCCACCGCUGUCGCCUCCGCUGCUGCAAUCCAGGGCGCACGCUCUCGCACUUUCCGCUGGCGGCGCGGAGGAUGCCCCCUGUAGCAGUCGGGGAGAAAUAGCCUCCCGGCCGGGCUGGACCACCCUUGGUGGCGAGGAAGGAAAUCCGGGCUCCGCUUCCCUUGAUGGCACUGCAGCAGCUGGCAGCCGGGACGGCGCCCACGAAACGGGCGCGCCAAGCUGGGCGCGGGAGGCGCAGAGAGGGACCCCGGGAGCAGGCUGAGCUCCGCUGCCGGAGUUCGCAAGUGGCUGGGACUCCGCAGCCCGGAAAUGAAUGGCUUUACUAUGGGCAAACUGAGGCUCUGAAUGACAAAAGAUGCUGUCAGAGGUCACACACAUAGGACUUGGAAGAGCUUGGAUUUGAACUUUGACUUCCUUGGAUCUAGAAGCCCUGCCUCUUGUGAGCUGACCCUGUCUUCCAAGGUAACUGUUUGCAUUCACACCAACUGUACCCAUGAAUGCAGCGGAGUCCUAGCCCAGCACUGCUGCUCACUUGCUGUGUCAUCUCAGGGGACUUUGUUGACCUCUCUGGGCCUAUUUUCCAGCUCUGGAAACUCACUCUUCUCCCUCCCAUCUCAGGGCCUUUGCACAUGCUCUGUCAUCGGCCCAACAUGCCUCCCUCUUUGCCUGGUUAAUUACAACUUCCCCUUCAGGUCUAGAGUGAAGCAUUUCUUCUGAGUGCUCCUCGGGGGCUGCCUUGUGCUCACCAAGCUCCAAAUCAUUCCUCGGGGUUUAUGACGGCAGCACUGGUGAUGGUUUAAGUCACCUGUGUCACCUCUACAGGACUGCAUGGGGGGUCAGGGUACUGCUGUGUUGCGUUUAGCUCCCCUCUGAGGUCACAGUCCCAGCCUACCACACGUGACACAGAGGUUGUGGAGUUCAUGGGUGAAGUUAAAAGGAGGCCUUGGGACGUACACACAUGCAUUGCUGGCAUGAGUGUGAAUUGGUGCUGCUGCUUUGAAAACCCAACAGAACUUUCUAACGUGGUGCAGCGUGCCCCCUGUGGCCCGAUGUUGAGCUGUACCCUGAAUAGCAAUGACUAUGUUCUGUUUUCUUCUGUUGUUUCUGUAAUAUCCACAAUGGCGAAAGCCAGAAACAUCCCAAAUGUCCAUUAUGGCAGAACAGACAAGCAAAGCUCGGUUUAGACCUACACAGGAAUAGUCUGCAGCAGUGGCAGUGAACCACCCAGCCUACAGCUGCAUGCCACAGAAAGGAUGCAUCAUGCAAAAACAAUGCCAGCAAAAAGCCAGACAGAGUCACAUGCUGCGUAAUUCUCGUUAUAAGAAGAAAGCUAAACUACAGUGUCUUGGAGGCAUGCAUGCUUAGUGAAAGUAUUAUAAAGAAAACGAAGGAAAAAUGCCCAUGACAGUCAGAAGGUAAUUAGCUUGUGUGGGGAAGAAGGAGAGGUGUUGAGCAGAGGGGUACAGAAGGAGCUUCGGGGUGCCGGCAGUGUGGACUCUUGCCCUGGAUGGUGGUCACACGGUGUGCAUCCAUCGUGCAAGAAUUCACCCAGUUGCACCUUUCUGUCUUAUAUGUAUGUGGGUCAUGAUUCCCAUGAAAAAGUCCCCUGUGUCCCUCCAGAUAAUGACCUCUGGGGAACCCCACCUGGGCCAUUGUCGCUUAGGCCUCAUGCACAGAAAGCAUCCUUUGACUUCCUGUUUUCAACCACCUUAUUCUUUAGCUUCAGUGCCACAGGUCCUGGUGUGGGGUGUGUCCCCCUCGGUCCCUAAGGGCCCUCAGGGGUCCAAAGUCCCAUGUGCAAAAACAAGCUGAGUGUCUUUUCUCCUGGCACAAGGGCCACCUGCCCAGAGGUGAGAGGGUCCCUUCUCCGGAAGGUGAUAAGGCUGGAUUUGAUUGCCCCAGAAAAACAUAAGAGUAAAAAAGGAAAAUAGGAAAAAAAGAGAAAAAUAAAACCUGAGACGCUCGGUCUAGGCCCUGGUUUUCAGGGCACUGACAGACAGGGAGAUAAGGUGGCUCAGGGAGGGUCAGGUGACAGUGUGGGGCAGGGUUGGAAUGAGGGCACAGGUCCCCAGGGCCCGGGGAGCUGGUGUCCAGGGCCAGGAGGCCUCGGUGUCUGCACUUGCCGUCCAUCCCGGUGGUUUUCCCAGGUCCCGGAGUCCCUUUCUGCAGAUGGGAGGAGGGGUCUGGGCUCUGCUCUUGAACCCGGCCCAGCUGGAGAGUGGACGCUCUCAUUUCUGCAGGUCUUUGAAGCUUGAAUGGGGCUGGAUGGGGUUGGAGUCUUAAAGGGUUCCUAGAAGUCGACCUGAUGGUUUUGGAUUCUGUAGCCACUGAGGAUGAACUUAAUUCAUCCGUCCAUUUAAGAAACAUGUCUCCGUGUUUUGCCUUUCUCAGAACAGGUGUGAAUCGAGUUUAUUUUGGGCUAGGCUCUGUCAAACCUCAAAUAUGAUCAUAGCUGCCACCUGAUUUGGGUUUGCCCUGCGUGUCUUGCCUUAGCACUGAAAACCCAGUGGUCUUCGGAAACCCCAGUCCUGGGCAGACCCUGGAAUGGUGAGCUGCUGCCCUGCUGCCACCCUCUCGGAGCUCACAGCCUGGGGAGGGAGCCAGGAAGUCCCAUGCCAUCGUGUCAGCAGUCACUUCCCUGGAGGAAGCCCAGGGGAGGCCCCUCUCCUAGAUGAUGGGUGCCAGGAGACCUCCUGGAGGAAGAGGCAUCUGAACGGAGCCCUUUGAGAGGAAGAGGAUCAGGCAAAGGUGCGGGUGGUUUGGGGAGCAGGGUAACGUUGGAGGCAAGGGGACCCAGAGGGGUUGUGUCGUGACAAGCCUGGGGCUCACAGUGGGCACCACCGCGUUGAAGAGGAGUGGGGGAAGGAGUUUCCAGUUAACCUGCCCUGGCUGCGGGGUGCAGAAUAGAGGCAGGCUUGGCGGGGAGGGGAGGUGAAGAGCAGAUCCUCCGUGGGUGGGACUGCUUUUCCUCCUCCUCGCUGAGCUGGCCGGAGCCCUUGCUGCUGUCUCUGGCCGCUGUUUUCUUCCCUCCUACCCUCAUAGGUCUUCAGGGAACCCAGCUCCUGCCCCCACUCUUCCCCAUGCCUCUCAUCACCUCCUAAUGCCCUGCAGGAAUGAUUUCUUUAUUCCAUUUACGGUCUGUGUCUCCCUCUUAGGACAGGGCUUUGCAACCUUGGCAUGAUGGGCAUUGUUGUUGGGUUUGUGGAGGGCACUGUAGGAGGUUUAACAGCAUGGCUGGUCUCAACCCAAGAGAUGCCCAUAGCACUCACCACCUCGCCCCAUUGUGACAAUCAACAACCAUCUCCAGACUUUGCCAAGUGGCCCGAAAGGGAGGAGGCUGGCAGCAUUGCCUCCAGUGGAGAACUGCCUGCAGUGAGGCCUGGCUGCUAGUGACGCUCACUCCAUGUUUGUUGAAUGAAUGAGUGAGUGAGUGUGGUUCGAGCUGGGGUAAUGGCGAUGGGGAUGGUGAAGGAAAGGUUUGAGAAGUAAAGUAGUUAAGUGAUAGGAGCAAACACUAUGUAGAGCUACCAUGGUGUUUAUUAUGGUGACAAUGCCACCCAUUCCAUUAUCCUCCCCAGGGCUCAAAUUCCUUUUAUCCUAUGGCAGAGGGCCCCACAGUAAUGUGUGGUAGAUCCAGGCUGGAGCCUGGUCUUGGGAAAUAGGGUGCAGAAUUACUGAGCUCUUGCUACUUGCCAGGCCUUGUAUGUGGGUCACCUCAUUGAAGCCUCCAACCAUAUCAUGAGAUGGCUACAAUCAGCCUGUUUUUACAAAUGGGACCUCUGAGGAUCAGAGAGGUGGAGUGUUUUGCCCAGAGUCACACAGCCAUGACUGGAGCCCUUUUGCUUGACUUCCAGGUAGGGGAUAAAGGAGGCACAAUCCAUGGACCUCAUCCCAAACUACCUUUCCUUUCCCUUUUGUCAGCCAGGAGAAAUGAUCAAAGGAUUCCCACUGGUACCUUAAUUAUUGAAGGCUGCGCUUCAAAGCGACUUGGAGACACUGAAAAAUUCACGAAGCCCCUGGCCUCAUGAAACCUCAGGUCCUUAACCUCACUUUUCCAGGCCCCAGGUUGGGUGGG
ensembl:lncRNA